UACGUAGGGGGCUAGCGUUGUCCGGAAUCAUUGGGCGUAAGCGCGUGUAGGCGGUCCGGUAAGUCCGCUGUGAAAGUCGAGGGCUCAACCCUCGAAUGCCGGUGGAUACUGUCGGGCUUGAGUACGGGAGAGGCGAGCGGAAUUCCUGGUGUAGCGGUGAAAUGCGCAGAUAUCAGGAGGAACACCGAUUGCGAAGGCAGCUCGCUGGAACGUUACUGACGCUGAGACGCGAAAGCGUGGGAGCAAACAGG
rnacentral:rRNA from 1 species